UGGGGAAUCUUGCGCAAUGCGCGAAAGCGUGACGCAGCAACGCCGCGUGAGGGAAGAAGGCUUUCGGGUUGUAAACCUCUUUCAGAGGGGACGAAGCCUGAGUCCGUUAAUAGCGGGCUUGGGUGACGGUACCUUCAGAAGAAGCCCCGGCUAACUACGUGCCAGCAGCCGCGGUAAUACGUAGGGGGCUAGCGUUGUCCGGAUUCAUUGGGCGUAAAGAGCGCGUAGGCGGUUUGGUAAGUCCGGUGUGAAAGUCGAAGGCUCAACCUUCGAAGGCCAUCGGAAACUGCCAGACUAGAGUCUGGGAGAGGCGAGUGGAAUUCCUGGUGUAGCGGUGAAAUGCGCAGAUAUCAGGAGGAACAUCAAUGGCGAAGGCAGCUCGCUGGAACAGUACUGACGCUGAGGCGCGAAAGCGUGGGGAGCAAACAGG
rnacentral:rRNA from 1 species